rnacentral:rRNA from 1 species
GCUUAACACAUGCAAGUCGAGGGGCAUCAGGAAGAAAGCUUGCUUUCUUUGCUGGCGACCGGCGCACGGGUGAGUAACACGUAUCCAACCUGCCCUUUACUCGGGGAUAGCCUUUCGAAAGAAGGAUUAAUACCCGAUAGCAUAAUGAUUCCGCAUGGUUUCAUUAUUAAAGGAUUCCGGUAAAGGAUGGGGCUGCGUUCCAUUAGGUUGUUGGUGAGGUAACGGCCCACCAAGCCUUCGAUGGAUAGGGGUUCUGAGAGGAAGGUCCCCCACAUUGGAACUGAGACACGGUCCAAACUCCUACGGGAGGCAGCAGUGAGGAAUAUUGGUCAAUGGGCGCUAGCCUGAACCAGCCAAGUAGCGUGAAGGAUGAAGGCUCUAUGGGUCGUAAACUUCUUUUAUAUAAGAAUAAAGUGCAGUAUGUAUACUGUUUUGUACGUAUUAUAUGAAUAAGGAUCGGCUAACUCCGUGCCAGCAGCCGCGGUAAUACGGAGGAUCCGAGCGUUAUCCGGAUUUAUUGGGUUUAAAGGGAGCGUAGGUGGACUGGUAAGUCAGUUGUGAAAGUUUGCGGCUCAACCGUAAAAUUGCAGUUGAUACUGUCAGUCUUGAGUACAGUAGAGGUGGGCGGAAUUCGUGGUGUAGCGGUGAAAUGCUUAGAUAUCACGAAGAACUCCGAUUGCGAAGGCAGCUCACUGGACUGCAACUGACACUGAUGCUCGAAAGUGUGGGUAUCAAACAGGAUUAGAUACCCUGGUAGUCCACACAGUAAACGAUGAAUACUCGCUGUUUGCGAUAUACAGUAAGCGGCCAAGCGAAAGCAUUAAGUAUUCCACCUGGGGAGUACGCCGGCAACGGUGAAACUCAAAGGAAUUGACGGGGGCCCGCACAAGCGGAGGAACAUGUGGUUUAAUUCGAUGAUACGCGAGGAACCUUACCCGGGCUUAAAUUGCAGUGGAAUGAUGUGGAAACAUGUCAGUGAGCAAUCACCGCUGUGAAGGUGCUGCAUGGUUGUCGUCAGCUCGUGCCGUGAGGUGUCGGCUUAAGUGCCAUAACGAGCGCAACCCUUAUCUUUAGUUACUAACAGGUUAUGCUGAGGACUCUAGAGAGACUGCCGUCGUAAGAUGUGAGGAAGGUGGGGAUGACGUCAAAUCAGCACGGCCCUUACGUCCGGGGCUACACACGUGUUACAAUGGGGGGUACAGAAGGCAGCUAGCGGGUGACCGUAUGCUAAUCCCAAAAUCCUCUCUCAGUUCGGAUCGAAGUCUGCAACCCGACUUCGUGAAGCUGGAUUCGCUAGUAAUCGCGCAUCAGCCACGGCGCGGUGAAUACGUUCCCGGGCCUUGUACACACCGCCCGUCAAGCCAUGGGAGCCGGGGGUACCUGAAGUACGUAACCGCAAGGAUCGUCCUAGGGUAAAACUGGUGACUGGGGCUAAGUC